rnacentral:rRNA from 1 species
AGAGUUUGAUCCUGGCUCAGGAUGAACGCUGGCGGCGUGCCUAACACAUGCAAGUCGAGCGCGAUUAAUUGGACUGGAGACUUCGGUCAAAGGGAAGAUUAUGAAAGCGGCGGACGGGUGAGUAACGCGUGAGCACAUGCAAGUCGAGCGCGAUUAGUUGGACUGGAGACUUCGGUCAAAGGGAAGAUUAUGAAAGCGGCGGACGGGUGAGUAACGCGUGAGCAACCUGCCCUGUACAGGGGGAUAGCCACUGGAAACGGUGAUUAAUACCCCAUAAACCCACAAGACCGCAUGGUCAAAUGGGCAAAGUUCCAACGGUACAGGAUGGGCUCGCGUCUGAUUAGCUAGUUGGUGAGGUAACGGCUCACCAAGGCGACGAUCAGUAGCCGACCUGAGAGGGUGAACGGCCACACUGGAACUGAGACACGGUCCAGACUCCUACGGGAGGCAGCAGUGGGGAAUAUUGCACAAUGGGCGCAAGCCUGAUGCAGCAACGCCGCGUGAGUGAUGAAGGCCUUCGGGCCGUAAACUUUCCUUGGUGAAGAAAAAAAUGACGGUAGCCAAGGAGGAAGCCCCGGCUAACUACGUGCCAGCAGCCGCGGUAAUACGUAGGGGGCGAGCGUUGUCCGGAUUUACUGGGCGUAAAGGGCGCGUAGGCGGCUCUUUAAGUCAGAUGUGAAAACCCAGGGCUUAACCUUGGGAGCCUUUGGAAACUGGUUAUCUUGAGGACAGGAGAGCUAGGUGGAAUGUGUAGUGUAGCGGUGAAAUGCGUAGAUAUUAGGAGGAACACCAGUGGCGAAGGCGACUUACUGGACUGUAACUGACGCUGAGUCACGAAAGCGUGGGUAGCAAACAGGAUUAGAUACCCUGGUAGUCCACGCUGUAAACGAUGAGUGCUAGGUGUUGGGUCUUAACUCCCCCUGUGCCGCAGCUAACGCAUUAAGUAUUCCGCCUGGGGAGUACGGCCGCAAGGUUGAAACUCAAAGGAAUUGACGGGGGCCCGCACAAGCAGCGGAGCAUGUGGUUUAAUUCGAAGCAACGCGAAGAACCUUACCAAGGUUUGACAUCCCCUUGACAGAUGCAGAGAUGUGUCCUCCCCUUCGGGGGCAAGGGAGACAGGUGGUGCAUGGUUGUCGUCAGCUCGUGUCGUGAGAUGUUGGGUUAAGUCCCGCAACGAGCGCAACCCUUAUCAUUAGUUGCCAGCAGGUUAAGCUGGGCACUCUAAGGAGACUGCCGGUGUCAAACCGGAGGAAGGUGGGGAUGACGUCAAGUCCUCAUGGCCCUUAUGUCCAGGGCUACACACGUGCUACAAUGGCCGGUACAAAGGGCAGCAAAGCCGCGAGGUGGAGCCAAUCCCAAAAAGCCGGUCUCAGUUCGGAUUGGAGUCUGCAACUCGACUCCAUGAAGUUGGAAUCGCUAGUAAUCGCGGAUCAGCACGCCGCGGUGAAUACGUUCCCGGGCCUUGUACACACCGCCCGUCAAACCAUGGGAGUUGGGAGCGCCCGAAGCCGGUAUUCUAACCGUAAGGAGGAAGCCGUCUAAGGCGAGACCAAUGACUGGGGUGAAGUCGUAACAAGGUAACC